rnacentral:rRNA from 1 species
AGGAGAGUUUGAUCCUGGCUCAGGACGAACGCUGGGGGGCGUGCUUAACACAUGCAAGUCGAACGAGAGGAAUUGAAAAGCUUGCUUUUUAAUGAAUCCAGUGGCAAACGGGGGAGUAACACGUAAACAACCUGCCUUCAGGAUGGGGACAACAGACGGAAACGACUGCUAAUACCGAAUACCUUCCAAGAGCCGCAUGACACCUGGAAGAAAGGGUGGCCUCUACCUGUAAGCUAUCGCCUGAAGAGGGGUUUGCGUCUGAUUAGGCAGUUGGUGAGGUAACGGCCCACCAAACCUACGAUCAGUAGCCGGUCUGAGAGGAUGAACGGCCACACUGGAACUGAGACACGGUCCAGACUCCUACGGGAGGCAGCAGUGGGGAAUCUUCCGCAAUGGGCGAAAGCCUGACGGAGCAACGCCGCGUGAGUGAUGACGGCCUUCGGGUUGUAAAGCUCUGUGAUCGGGGACGAACGGACUUACUGUUAAUACCAGUAAGUAGUGACGGUACCCGAAUAGCAAGCCACGGCUAACUACGUGCCAGCAGCCGCGGUAAUACGUAGGUGGCAAGCGUUGUCCGGAAUUAUUGGGCGUAAAGCGCGCGCAGGCGGCCUCCUAAGUCCAUCUUAAAAGUGCGGGGCUUAACCCCGUGAUGGGAUGGAAACUGGGAAGCUGGAGUAUCGGAGAGGAAAGUGGAAUUCCUAGUGUAGCGGUGAAAUGCGUAGAGAUUAGGAAGAACACCGGUGGCGAAGGCGACUUUCUGGACGACAACUGACGCUGAGGCGCGAAAGCGUGGGGAGCAAACAGGAUUAGAUACCCUGGUAGUCCCCU